GUAGCUAUUCCAAUGAACUAGGGUUCGUUUCCUGCAAAGAGACUGGCCCUGCGGCCUUUCUCUAACCCCGCUUCCCAACCACAAGAGACGCCAUGGCGUUUUACUUGGAGGUGGACCCCGUCACGCUGAACCUGAUCAUCCUGGUGGUGAGCUACGUCAUCUUGCUCCUGGUGUUCCUCGUCUCCUGCGCGCUGUACGACUGCCGAGGCAAGGACCCCAGCACGCAGGCCACGCCCGAGGCCACGCUCGGUGCCCAGCCCGCCCUCCGCUUGGUGGUGAUGCAGCAAAGCGCGCCAGGGGGCCCCUGGGCCCGGGGACCCGACCUUCAUUUUGGAAAUCCCGCUCCCCUGGGGAAGAAAAGCACGGUGGUGUGAGGCUGGCUGCGGGGCGCUGGGGAGAGGGCACAGGGCAUUCUGGACAAGCCAUUCCCCCGGGGGCUCCGGCCCUCGCGGCGCACAGGCCCUGCUGGGCCACCCGAGUGGGAGCCCUGUCCCAGUGUCUGCUUCCUCGGCGCCCUCUGCGGAGAAAGCAACCCUCAAGGGCGUGAAUCAAUCAUGACGCCAUUAUCAUGCUCAUACUUCACUGCUGUUGCCUGUGCAGCACAGAUGCAGGUGCAGUUACGUCAGUGUGGAAGCCACCACAUGGACCUACUGACAGCCAUCCAUCCAUUCAACAGACGUCUAUACUGAACCUCCAGGAAGAUGCCUGCAAGUCGCUCCUUGCCUGCCGAUGUCUAUGAGGACUCUGCACUCGG